rnacentral:rRNA from 1 species
CAUGGUCUUAGCUUGCUAAGACUGAUGGCGACCGGCGCACGGGUGCGUAACGCGUAUGCAACUUGCCUCACAGAGGGGGAUAACCCGUCGAAAGACGGACUAAUACCGCGUACACUCUAUGUUGGGCAUCCAAUGUAGAGGAAAUGAAAUUCGCUGUGAGAUAGGCAUGCGUCCCAUUAGCUAGUUGGUGAGGUAACGGCUCACCAAGGCGACGAUGGGUAGGGGAACUGAGAGGUUGAACCCCCACACUGGUACUGAGACACGGACCAGACUCCUACGGGAGGCAGCAGUGAGGAAUAUUGGUCAAUGGGCGAGAGCCUGAACCAGCCAAGUCGCGUGAAGGAUGACUGUCUUAUGGAUUGUAAACUUCUUUUAUACGGGAAUAACAAGAGUCACGUGUGACUCCCUGCAUGUACCGUAUGAAUAAGCAUCGGCUAACUCCGUGCCAGCAGCCGCGGUAAUACGGAGGAUGCGAGCGUUAUCCGGAUUUAUUGGGUUUAAAGGGUGCGUAGGCGGCCUGUUAAGUCAGCGGUGAAAUCUAGGAGCUUAACUCCUAAAUUGCCAUUGAUACUGGCGGGCUUGAGUGUAGAUGAGGUAGGCGGAAUGCGUGGUGUAGCGGUGGAAUGCAUAGAUAUCACGCAGAACUCCGAUUGCGAAGGCAGCUUACUAAGGUACAACUGACGCUGAAGCACGAAAGCGUGGGUAUCAAACAGGAUUAGAUACCUGGUAGUCCACGCAGUAAACGAUGAUAACUGGGCGUAUGCGAUAUACAGUAUGC